rnacentral:tRNA from 1 species
GCGGACGUGGCUCAGUUGGUAGAGCAUCACCUUGCCAAGGUGAGGGUCGCGGGUUCGAACCCCGUCGUCCGCU